GUUAGGUUAUGUUAGGUUAUGUUAUGUUAGGUUAUGUUUAUCUCAUAUCAACCAAAUGUUCUGUAUAUUUUAGUUGAUGUUAGUUUUUAGUUGAUGACCAUCUGCUGUGGUAUCCUGUAUCCAGUCUGUCUCCAUGUGUUGUCUGUCUGACCUUAAGGCAUGAUCUCCAGCGUCUUUGAUGCGUGCAGGGCUCUCUGUUCCACUGGUCCCAUCAUUUUACACCUCCUUUCCUCCUCCUCCUCCUCCUCCUCCUCCUCCUCCUCCUCCUCUUCUGCUCGUCUGUGUCAUGUGACCAUGUCCAAACAAUUGAAAUGUCUGGCUGACUUCCAAACCUUGUGUUUUUUUUUUUUUACUUCCUUUGUCCUUGUAGACUUUGAACUAGUCUAUCUAGUCUGUCUGUCCAGCUGAGCUUUAUGGCAUCCCGUCACGUGUCACCCCAUGCUAACUCGUACUACCAUGGAGCUCUGCUACAUCACUUCACUCUGUCCCAGCAUGCACCACUUACUGAGAUAAUGACCUCCAAAACAUUCAGAGGGAAUCUUGGUCUUCCUGCAACGCAGCGGGAUCAUCUCCUUCCCAUGCCUCCUCCUCCUACCAAUCACAGAGAAAAAGACUCCCCCAACCCAGAAACAUUCCAUAUGCUCAGAGUUCCAAAGGUUUUUAACUGCUUUCAUUAUUCUAUUUGGUGUCAAUAUCAAUUUCCAAUGGGUUUACAACGUAGGUUUACAAUGUAGGUUUACCUAUAACGUAGGUUUACAAUGUAGGUUUACCUAUAACGUAGGUUUACAAUGUAGGUUUACCAUGUAGGUUUACAAUGUCCAACCAAUGUUGGUAUAUGUCCAACACUGGUAGGAAACCAUUUGGUAUUUUUUUUAAAUGAUUUCAACCACCCUACGAAAUUGAGGAAUCAGUACCUGAAUUCUUAUGACCAUGUUUUCCCGUCAGAGCAUUACCAGAUCAAACCUUACAGAUCUGUUUCUGUGAUAAAUGAUCAUAUGAACGUAAAAACAUCGAAUCGUCUCUAGAGACGACUUUCAGGAUGUCUGCCAAGGCCUCUUAGAGGAGCUCUGCCAAACCAAUAGAGAUAAAGCCGUCUAUCUCUCAGGCCUAAGCCUUUGGAAAUCGAUGUUGACCUAUCUGUCGUGACUGAGGUUAGAUACACAGGAAACACCUGGUUUUGAUCAUAUCUUUUAUCGACAAUCCAUUUGAAAGCUUUUGUGGUGCAGUCCCUUCAGUGCCGCAAGGAGUAUUUAGAAGGAGGAAUAACGAUCGGAUCCGUCCGUGAUGUCCAUAGUAAUGUAGCUAUAGUAAUGUAGCUAUAGUAAUGUAGCUAUAGUAAUGUAGCUAUAGUAACGGAGCUAUAGUAAUGUAGCUAUAGUAACGGAGCUAUAGUAACGGAGCUAUAGUAACGGAGCUAUAGUAACGGAGCUAUAGUAACA